GCUGGACUGGUCUGGAACUCCUGACCUCAAGCGAUCCACUGCCUCGGCCUCCCAAAGUGCUGGGAUUACAGGUGUGAGCCACUGUGCCCAGCCACUCCUUUCCCUAGCCUCUUAAGCGUGACUGUGUUUUACAAAUGUCUGUAUUUAGCCAGUUCUUGUUUUUCUUUCGAUGCAGCUACAAGGCCACCAGCUAUGCAAGGCCACAAGUUAUGCACUAUAUGAUUAACUGCCUUUGUUUUGCUUUUGUAAGCCUGCUUAUAAACCCCCCACCUCUGUCUUUGUUCUAGGCUCAGCUUUUUAGAUGUGAAUCCACUGAGCCAGUGCUUACCUUAAAAUGAAUAUCUUCCUGUGUUCCCAUAUCAGUAUCUCUGUUCCUCAGUUUACCAUAACACCAAGUCUGUGGGAAGUGGUUCUGAUAAAGGAUUCAGAGGAUGAAUUCUGAUAUUUUGAAAUAAUGAGAUUAAAAAAUUAUACAAUUCAUGGUGGGGUUCCUAAUAGGGGUCUGAAAUAACAAUCUAGUCAAGAACCUGUAUAUAUUUUGCUUUUAUUCUCUAAAAAAAAAAACAAAAAAAGUUUAAUUGCUGUUCUUACUGGAAUAAUAGCACAUGUGAACCAAAUACAAUACAGCAAAAUGAAGCCAUAAUAAAAAUAUUAGCAAUUUAUUUUGCAAAGUUUUUAAUCACAAUUGGUUAGUCAAAAGUAAUGCACGUCAUACUACUGUUCCUGAAGCUUCGAACUGCUGGGCUCAAGCAAUCUUCCUGCCUCAGCCAUCUAAGUAGCUGGGACCACAGGUGUGUGCCACCAUGCCAGGCUGGUUUUUUAUGUUUAGUAGAGCCUGGGUCUCAUUAUGUUGCCAAGACUGGUCUCCAACUCCUGGGCUCAAGCCCAAGUGUGAUCCGCCUUACCCGGCUCUGAAAGGUUUUCUACAGAUCACAUUUUUUAAGCUAACAAAUUUUCUUUUAAUUUUUCUUUUUCUUUUUUUUUUUUUUUUAGACGGAGUCUCUCUGUGUUGCCCAGGCUGGAGUGCAGUGGCGUGAUCUCGGCUGACUGCAACCUCUGCCUCCUGGGUUCAAGUGAUUCUCCUGCCUCAAUCUCCCAAGUAACUGGGAUUACAGGCAGGCACCACCAUGCCCAGCUAAUUUUUGUGUUUUUAGUAGAGACGGGGGUUUCACCAGGUAGGACGGGCUGGUCUCAAACCCCUGGCCUCAGGUGAUCUGCUCACCUCAGUCUCCCAAAGUGCUGGGAUGACAGGAGUGAGCCACCGUGCCCAGCCACAAAUUUUCUAAUGGCUAAUUGUGUUAGAAUCAUGUACUCCUUUUUAAAAAGUUAUUCACUGAUAAUGGCCUUCUAAAGUAUAGUAAAUUGGAACGAACACUCCGGAAAACAAUAUGGUGUUAGUAACACUAAACACACGCAAUUUAUACAACCCAGCAAUUCCACCUGAGGGAGACACUCAGGAGAAACUUUCAUGAGUAGGCUGGGUGUGGUGGAUCAUGCUUCUAAUCCCACCACUUUGGGAGGCCUAGGUGGGAGGAUCGCUUGAGCCCAGGAUUUCAAGACCACCCUGGGCAACAUAUUGAGACCUAAUCGCUACAAAAAAUAAACAACAUUAGUGGGACGUGGUGGCACACACCUCAAGUCCCAGCUACUUGGCUGAGUUGGGAGGAUGGCUUGAGCCUGGAGGUUAAGGCUGCACUAAGAUCACGCCACUGCACUCCAGCCUGGGUGGCAGAGUGAGACUCUGUCU
rnacentral:lncRNA from 10 species